GAUGAACGCUGGCGGCGUGCCUAAUACAUGCAAGUCGAGCGAACGGACGAGAAGCUUGCUUCUCUGAUGUUAGCGGCGGACGGGUGAGUAACACGUGGAUAACCUACCUAUAAGACUGGGAUAACUUCGGGAAACCGGAGCUAAUACCGGAUAAUAUUUUGAACCGCAUGGUUCAAAAGUGAAAGACGGUCUUGCUGUCACUUAUAGAUGGAUCCGCGCUGCAUUAGCUAGUUGGUAAGGUAACGGCUUACCAAGGCAACGAUGCAUAGCCGACCUGAGAGGAUGAUCAGCCACACUGGAACUGAGACACACUCCAGACUCCUACGGGAGGCAGCAGUAGGGAAUCUUCCACAAUGGGCGAAAGCAUCACGGAGCAACGCCGCGUGAGUGAUGAAGGUCUUCGGAUCGUAAAACUCUGUUAUUAGGGAAGAACAUAUGUGUAAUUAACUGUGCACAUCUUGACGGUACCUAAUCAGAAAGCCACGGCUAACUACAUG
rnacentral:rRNA from 1 species